UACGUAGGGUGCGAGCGUUGUCCGGAAUUAUUGGGCGUAAAGAGCUCGUAGGCGGUUUGUUGCGUCUAUCGUGAAAACCUGCAGCUUAACUGUGGGCUUGCGGUGGAUACGGGCAGACUUGAGUUCGGUAGGGGAGACUGGAAUUCCUGGUGUAGCGGUGAAAUGCGCAGAUAUCAGGAGGAACACCGGUGGCGAAGGCGGGUCUCUGGGCCGAUACUGACGCUGAGGAGCGAAAGCGUGGGGAGCGAACAGG
rnacentral:rRNA from 1 species